AUGAGUAUCCUCGUGUGCAACUGUCGUGGUGCUGGCAAACCAGCGACAGUUCGAGAAUUUCGCAAUAUGGCGAAGCAGUUUGCCCCCUCUAUUGUAUGCAUUGUUGAGACUCAAUUAGAGGGUAGUCGUGUAGAAAAUUUAGCUGAAACACUUGGUUACAAUAAAGGUUUUGCUGUUAGUAGCUCUGGCAGGAGUGGUGGCUUAGAUGUGUUUUGGAAUGAUUCAAUAAAGGUUGAAAUUAUCGGUUACUUGGAGUACCAUGUGGAUGUGGAGGUGGAUUCCUUAUUAGGUGUUCAUGCAAGAUUUACCUUUGUCUAUGGAGAGGCCCUGGCAAAUGAGUGA
rnacentral:rRNA from 1 species